UGUGAUCAAACUAAAAAUCAUACGGUUGCAAUGAUAUUGGGAGCUUGUACAGAAGAGUUGUUUCAAAUUUGUGAAAUGUUGGUGCCUGACUGCAGUGACUAGCGAAUUAUCAUAUUUCAGGUCUGAGCCACCUAUCGUGAACAUAAGAUGUGCAAGUUUUGAUACUGACCGUCAUCACCAACAAUCUCAACAUCAUCAAUUGGAUAAACACCAUCCAGUUUGAUUGGGAAAACUCUGUCCUCGUGUAUGCCCAUGUGAGUGUGGGUGUAUUCACGAGGACGCCCUUUUUCCGACAUUCAACUUUUCUGCGGAUGAAUGAAGCAAUUCUGGAUGCCUGGCUGUGGAUUUCCCGGGCUCAAAGGUAG
rnacentral:lncRNA from 1 species